CGCGGCCUAUCAGCUUGUUGGUGGGGUGAUGGCCUACCAAGGCGGUGACGGGUAGCCGGCCUGAGAGGGCGACCGGCCACACUGGGACUGAGACACGGCCCAGACUCCUACGGGAGGCAGCAGUGGGGAAUAUUGCGCAAUGGGCGGAAGCCUGACGCAGCGACGCCGCGUGGGGGAUGACGGCCUUCGGGUUGUAAACCUCUUUCGCCAGGGACGAAGCUUUUGUGACGGUACCUGGAGAAGAAGCACCGGCCAACUACGUGCCAGCAGCCGCGGUAACACGUAGGGUGCGAGCGUUGUCCGGAAUUAUUGGGCGUAAAGAGCUCGUAGGCGGUGUGUCGCGUCGGCCGUGAAAACCUGGGGCUUAACUCUGGGCGUGCGGUCGAUACGGGCAUCACUAGAGUUCGGCAGGGGAGACUGGAAUUCCUGGUGUAGCGGUGAAAUGCGCAGAUAUCAGGAGGAACACCGGUGGCGAAGGCGGGUCUCUGGGCCGAUACUGACGCUGAGGAGCGAAAGCAUGGGGAGCGAACAGGAUUAGAUACCCUGGUAGUCCAUGCCGUAAACGUUGGGCGCUAGGUGUGGGGACCAUUCCACGGUUUCUGUGCCGCAGCUAACGCAUUAAGCGCCCCGCC
rnacentral:rRNA from 1 species